rnacentral:misc_RNA from 1 species
UAGUAUGAAGGAGUGAGAAUAUUCAAAAGGAUAUUAAGAUGAAAAGAGAAUAGUAUAUGAAGUAAUCCACAACAAAAGAUAAUGAUACCUUUGAUAAAUACAAGUUGACAAGGCAAGAAGUUAAGACAGAGGUUACAGAGGCUCAUGAUAAAUCUCCAACCAAUUUGUACCAAAAGUUAAGGACAUGAAAGGAGGAGAAUGUCAUGUACAAGUUAGCAUUACUAAAGGAAAAGAGGAAUACAGAUUAAAGAUGAUAAUUAACAAUUUUUGUUGGGAGAUAAUAAGAACAAAGAGAGAUGUAAAUGCUAAUUUGAUCAACUGUUCAAUGCGAGCCAUGAGAAUAGCUUUUACAAACCUUAAUGCUUCUUUGACAUAGAAAGAUCUUAAUUAUACUCAUAGAAUUAAGUUUUUUGUAAUUAAAGAGGCCAGAAAGAAUAUGAAGAUAGGGGUGAACUUGCAGCCUAAAUUGUAUCCUUAUAGAAGUAUGGAAGUAUAUUGUGGAGGCUAGCUUGGCUAACAAGCUAUUCAAUAGCAAUUCUAGAACUUGAAAAGACGCCAAAAGAAUGGAGGAAAAACACUCCAUAACCAUAUGGAUUUUGUUUCCCCAAAUUUUCAAUUAAUUUUUCCUUUUUUCAAAACGGGUUUUUCAAUUUUCUGUGCUAAACCUCCCCUGGGGCCUUCAAACACAAAUCAACAGUCAGAAACCCGAAUGCCACCGAAUUCAUGCUAGGCAGAAAUUAAAUGAAAGCUGGAAAGUUAUUUAACCAAUAGCUCCUGUGACUUGUGUAGGCAGAUAAAACUUAGAAAAAGGAAGAUGAGAAUCACCUGUGUGGCUAGCUGGGCAAACUACUAUCAAUGCUUCUAAGUUGAUGCUUAGUUAAUUAGAAAUAAGAGGCAAAUAUGAACGUUCAAAAAAAUUACAAUCUGAAAAUAUUGAAAGAAUCUAGUUAGAGAAUCAGCACUGUCCAGGAAAUUAUUUGAAAAGGUAGGGACUAGUGCCCCUUUCUUCUUGAUGCUAUUUCUAAGGCCCAAGCUUUGCCUAAUUCAGUCUGAAACUUCCCAGCAGUUGAUUGGAAAAACUCAUCCAAAUCCCUCUCUUGCUCAUUUUCAUAUUCUAAAGCUUGAAGUAUCAUCUCCACCUUGUCAAAGUCCUUCACAAUUUUGGCUUCUGGUGACGAAUUCUCCUCAUAUUCCAUCCAUAAUUGAUUGAUUUCAUUGGCUCCCAACCCUCCUCUUAGCAAUUUGCACAUGUGGUCUAAAGCUUCCCGCUCUUGUCGACUUUUCUCUGCCUUAGAUAUCCCAUCAGAAGGGGUUAUGUCUCCCACAAUGGCUUCUGCAAUAUCAUGUACAAUGGCCAUUUUUAUGCACUUGGCUCUAUCAAUGCCGGGAAUAUCAGGAGCAAUAAGAGCCAUCAAACCCAUUCUGUACAUAUGAUCAGAUAUUGAUUCGGGAUUGAUUAUAUCUCUCUUCACCCAUCCAGCUCUCUUCGUUUUCUUGAGGUUGUGACAUAAAGACAGAAAAUCAAUAGCAGAGGCGGGAGAAGGAUAAGGAGAAGGAGAAGGAGAAGGUGAAGGAGAAGGCGACGCAACGCCGUCAUUUGCAGAAGAUGAAGCUUCGGCCGCCAUGCGAUGAUGUUGCUGAGCUCUCGAGCUAUUCGGUGACGGAGUGAAGGAUUUGAAUCUGAGCUGAAAGCAAGAACAAGCAAAAGCAGGUGCGAACCCAGAGAAGACGAGCGAGGAUGUUGAUUUACACAGCAAUACUCGGCUUCCGCUUCCCAUUUUCGGCGUGUUCUUUUUU